rnacentral:rRNA from 1 species
UGGGGAAUAUUGCGCAAUGGGGGAAACCCUGACGCAGCGACGCCGCGUGCGGGAUGAAGGCCUUCGGGUUGUAAACCGCUUUUGAUUGGGAGCAAGCUUUCGGGUGAGUGUACCUUUCGAAUAAGCGCCGGCUAACUACGUGCCAGCAGCCGCGGUAAUACGUAGGGCGCAAGCGUUAUCCGGAAUUAUUGGGCGUAAAGAGCUUGUAGGCGGUUCGUCGCGUCUGGUGUGAAAGCCCAUCGCUUAACGGUGGGUUUGCGCCGAGUACGGGCGGGCUAGAGUGCAGUAGGGGAGACUGGAAUUCCCGGUGUAACGGUGGAAUGUGUAGAUAUCGGGAAGAACACCAAUGGCGAAGGCAGGUCUCUGGGCUGUUACUGACGCUGAGAAGCGAAAGCGUGGGGAGCGAACAGG